UGUUUUAGGUUUUGGAGUUAACAUAGUGACUGUUGUUAUGGUCGUUGUGCUUGGAUUUAGUCACAAGAUUGAUCGAAGGUCAGAUGGCCAGCUCCUUUUGAGGUGUUUUCAUCUCAUGCUUACACAUUCUGCAUACAAGUUUGAAUCAAGAUUUCCAACAUGGUAUCAGAGCCAGAGUUAAUUCACACUCUGCUGCCACUGGUUUUACCCUCCGUCUUCUUGAUUGUUCUUGAUCUACUUCCGUCUUUUUCUUGUUUGUUCUUGGCUUUCUUCUUUCUUGCAUAUAAAUAUGGUCACUGCUACCAACAGUAGCGUGGACGUAACACAAAACCCCAAUAGACCCUAUUAUCUUCAUCCUGGAGGAAAUUCUGGUAUGAUGUAAAAAAUCUAUAAACCACUGUAUUCUGUUUGCACAACACUUACUUGUGAGCCUUCUUAUCCUGUAGUGUUUCUAUGUAAGGUGUUCUCUACAGCAAGUGAUUGUCCAAUAUUGUCAAACUUUGUGGAAUUAAAAUCAUCUGGUUCACAUGGAAAAGUUAUCAUUAUCUCCGCAUAUAAUUUCUGUAAUCUACAGUUGUAUGUACCUGAGAUAAAUGAUAUUCAUAUUUGAUGGUUUACAUUGAAUAAACAGAUGAACUUUCCAGAAAAAAUAGUCAUGGAUUUUAUACCAGCUUUUGGAGCAUGUCUUUCAAUUGUAGACAUAUUUUUUCUGUGGAAGAAAGAGCAUAGUAGUCACAUUGUUGGAUAUCAUAAAUGGUUCUAUAGCUGUUCUGAGUUGAUGGUGUGGGUAAAUAUUAUUUUCUUCACAAAGCGUGGCGGCAGUCACCACAUUGUCUUCAAUCGUGUUUUAUGUUUCUGGUGGAUUCCUAAAGCAAUAUUGGCAGUUUUGUAUUUGAUGACAAAGAUUUCAUCAUUUAAGGUUUCAAUUUGCAUCACGGAAAGCUUAGUCGUUCUCUUGAAUAUCUCAUUUGGCAUAGCCAUCAAUGUGAUAAGGAUAAAGAGACCAUCUUACAAAAACAGUUUUUUGGAGGAUCCACUUCUUUCGAAUGGUGUGGACCUUGAGGAAGGUGGUUAUCAAGACCUUGAAAAUGAUGGAAACUUUUGGGAUUUGAUGACUUUCAACUUCAUAACUCCAGUAAUGAAUCAUGGUGUGGUAAAACAAUUAGAUUCUGAUGACCUAUUGCCACUACCGACUGAUAUGGAUCCUUCUUCCUGUCAUGAUGUGAUUUCUUCCUGCUGGCAAGCUCAACUGAGUAACAAUGGCUCUAAUCCAUCUUUGUUUAGAGCACUCUGUAGUGCAUAUGGAUGGCCAUACCUCCGCCUGGGUUUAUUGAAGGUGAUUAAUGAUUCUAUUGGUUUUGCGGGGCCACUCCUUCUCAAUAAGCUGAUCCAGUUUCUUCAACAAGGUUCGGUGAAUUGGGAUGGGUAUUUACUAGCAUUAUCCUUGGGGCUCACCUCUAUAAUUAAAUCCUUUUUAGAUACACAAUAUACUUUUCAUCUUUCCAAACUGAAGCUGAAGCUGCGAUCUAGUAUCAUGACUCUAAUCUAUGAGAAGUGUCUUCGAGUGAACUUAGCAGAGCGUUCAAAAUUUACAAAUGGAGAAAUUCAGACAUUUAUGUCAGUGGAUGCUGAUCGAACUGUCAACUUAUGUAAUAGUUUCCAUGAUAUGUGGAGCCUACCUCUACAGAUUGGAGUGGCUCUCUAUCUUUUGUAUACUCAAGUCAAAUUUGCAUUUGUAUCUGGAUUAGCAAUAACCAUUUUAUUGAUACCAGUGAAUAAAUGGAUAGCACAAUUGAUUGCAAGUGCUACUGAGCAGAUGAUGAAGGAGAAAGAUGAAAGGAUUCGUAAGACAGGAGAACUUUUGACUUAUAUUCGCACUUUGAAGAUGUAUGGAUGGGAACUUCUUUUUUCUAGUUGGUUGAUGGAUACAAGAUCUUUGGAAGUCAAACACUUAGCUACUCGAAAGUACUUGGAUGCGUGGUGUGUUUUCUUUUGGGCUACAACACCAACUCUCUUCUCUCUUUUCACUUUUGGACUCUAUGCACUAAUGGGACAUCAACUUGAUGCUGCAAUGGUUUUCACUUGUCUUGCAUUGUUCAACACCCUUAUUUCACCACUAAAUUCAUUCCCUUGGGUAAUUAAUGGAUUGAUUGAUGCCAUCAUAUCUUCCAGACGGUUGAGUAGGUUUCUCACUUGUCCUGAAGAUAAAGUUAAAGUGGGAAACAAAAGUUCCUGUCCACCAUCAUUCCUAAGUGAACAGCCUGAUUCUGUACAAGGUUUGGGUGUAUUUAUCCAAGAUGCAUGUUGUACUUGGUCAAGUAGUGAGGAACAAGCAUUAAAUAUGGUGUUGAAUCGUGUGACUCUAAGUGUGUCCCAGGGUUCCUUUGUUGCAGUUAUUGGAGAGGUUGGUUCAGGUAAAUCAUCCCUGUUAUAUUCAAUCCUUGGAGAAAUGCAGCUUGUUCAUGGCUCGAUUUAUUCCAAUGAAUCCAUAGCUUAUGUACCACAGGUCCCUUGGAUUUUAUCUGGAACGGUGCGCGACAACAUAUUAUUUGGGAAAAGCUAUGAUCCUGAAAGGUAUACUGAUACACUGAAGGCAUGUGCAUUAGAUGUUGAUGUCUCAUUGAUGAUUGGAGGUGACAUGGCUUAUAUUGGUGAGAAAGGAGUUAACUUAUCGGGUGGACAGAGAGCUCGUCUUGCUUUGGCAAGGGCAUUAUAUCAUGACUCAGCUGUUGUUAUGCUUGAUGAUGUCCUGAGUGCAGUAGAUGUACAAGUUGCUCAAUCCAUCUUAUACAAUGCCAUUCUAGGUCCCCUUAUGCAGAGAAAAACCCGAUUGCUCUGUACCCAUAAUAUUCAGGCAAUAUCUUCUGCUGACAAGAUUGUUGUAAUGGACAAGGGACACAUAAAGUGGAUAGGAAAUUCAGACGACUUUCCAGUUAAUUCAUGUACACAGUUCUCUCCGUCGAAUGAAAUUGAUUCAGCUUUACAGAAUCAUGGACAAUCUUGCAGCCCAAAUCUUUCUUCUAAAUCCAAGGAGCAGUCUCUUCUUGGUACAAGUAUUGUGCGUGCUCUGGAGGGAGCAGAGGAGAUAGUUGAAGUUGAGUUGAGGAAAGAGGGAAAAGUUGAAAUUGGAGUGUAUAAGAAUUAUGCUGUCUUCACUGGCUGGUUCAUGACAGUCAUUAUAUGCCUAUCAGCUAUUUUGAUGCAAGCUUCUCGAAAUGGAAAUGAUUUAUGGCUGUCAUAUUGGGUUGAUACAACAACAGAAAGCAGUCAGACAAGAUAUUCUGUGUCUUUCUAUCUGGCUAUACUGUGUCUCUUUUGUAUUAUUAAUUCAUUUUUCACAUUGGUGAGGGCAUUCUCUUUUGCAUUUGGGGGAUUACAAGCUGCAACUAAGGUACACAAUAAAUUGCUCAACAAGCUUAUGAAUGCACCUGUCCAAUUCUUUGAUCAGACCCCUGGUGGGAGAAUACUGAACAGGUUAUCUUCGGAUCUUUAUACCAUUGAUGAUUCACUUCCAUUCAUUCUGAACAUUCUCCUAGCGAAUUUCGUAGGCUUGUUGGGUAUUACAAUAAUUUUGUGUUAUGUACAGGUCUUCUUCUUACUCUUGCUAUUACCAUUUUGGUAUAUCUACAGCAGACUUCAGUUCUUCUACAGGUCAACAUCAAGAGAAUUACGACGGCUGGACAGUGUUUCCCGCUCUCCAAUAUACUCAUCAUUCACUGAAACACUUGAUGGAUCAUCAACUAUUAGAGCGUUUAAAUCUGAGGACUUUUUCUUUACCAAAUUCACUGAACAUAUAACCUUGUAUCAGAAGACUUCCUACACAGAGAUAGUGGCAAGUUUGUGGCUUUCCUUGCGUCUUCAGCAAUUAGGUGCAUUUAUCAUCUCUUUCAUAGCUGUGAUGGCUGUUGUUGGAUCUCGUGGCAGUCUGCCCAUCAACUUUGGUACCCCAGGAUUGGUAGGAUUGGCCCUCUCAUAUGCAGCUCCAAUUGUGUCCUUAUUGGGGAGUUUUUUGUCAAGCUUCACUGAAACAGAAAAGGAAAUGGUUUCAAUUGAAAGAACUCUUCAAUACAUGGACAUUCCUCAAGAAGAACAAACUGGAGGCCUAUACUUGAAUCAAGAUUGGCCAAAUCAAGGAUUUAUCGAAUUCCAGUGUGUUACUUUGAAAUAUUUACCAUCUUUGCCAGCUGCACUCUGCAAUCUUAGUUUUAGAAUUGCUGGAGGGACACAAGUUGGAAUAAUUGGAAGAACAGGCGCUGGAAAGUCCAGUGUGUUAAAUGCUCUUUUCCGUCUUACUCCAAUAUGUACAGGCUCUAUCUCAAUUGAUGGCGUGGAUAUUAAAAAUAUUUCUGUCAGAGAACUACGUACACAUUUGGCCAUUGUUCCUCAGAGUCCAUUUUUGUUCGAAGGAUCAUUAAGGGAUAACCUAGAUCCUUUCAAAAUGAAUGAUGACUUAAAAAUUUGGAAUGCAUUGGAAAAGUGCCAUGUGAAAGAGGAAGUAGAAGCAGCUGGAGGGCUGGACCUUCUUGUAAAGGAAGGAGGGAUGUCAUUUUCAGUUGGCCAACGGCAACUUCUUUGCCUCGCCCGUGCACUUCUGAAAUCUUCCAAGGUUCUCUGUUUGGAUGAAUGCACAGCCAAUGUAGACAUUCAAACUGCUUCACUGCUGCAAACCACCAUAUCCGGUGAAUGCAAAGGAAUGACAGUUCUCACAAUUGCUCACCGGAUUUCAACUGUUUUAAAUAUGGACAACAUUCUGAUUCUUGACCAUGGGAAACUGGCUGAACAGGGCAACCCACAGGUUCUUCUGAAAGAUGAGACCUCGAUAUUUUCUAGUUUUGUUAGAGCUUCAGUAAUGUAGCAAUGUGUAAUUGUGGAAGGCCAUCUUUUAACAUGACACAUCAGCAGACUACCCGCAGCGCAGACGAUUCUCUAAACUAACGCUGCACAAGUUUUGCCUAGAUCAAUGCAACUGCAAAACGUGGUUGCCGUUUCGUCUAAGUUAGGGAUUUUUUAUCCAUGUUAGAAGAACUAAUUUUAGCUAACAGGUGACAUGAGAACUUUCAAUUGCUAACUUAAGCUCCUUUAUUUCAUAGCUAAUAUGCUUCUGUUCCAAUUUAUAGAAGACAGAUAACUCCAUACUUUUAGCUAACAAGUAGAUUUUUUUUUUUUAAUUAUAACAAAUUCUGCUUUCACUCGAAAUUAUCCUUGCAUUGAUGUCUCACAAAUAUAUUUCUUAAUAAAUAUAGGGUACAUAAAUAAUUUAACAAGGUCUUAGCUCGAAAAUAGGUUUUUUUUUUAUAUUUUUUUUCUUAUAAAUGGAAUUAGAUGUGAUAUCAUAUAAAAUGUAUGACUACAUAACCUUGUUUGGACAUCGUUUAAGCGUGGCAUUUUAUUUUAAUGGUUUGGUUAUGUUAUACGUGUGUAAACUAACUUGAAAUUGGACACUCAAUAAAUGAUUUUUUUAGAAACACAUUAUAGGUGGAUUACGGUGGGGAUAUAGAGAUAUUUGUAUCCUAAUAAUUAAAUGGUUACACAUGCCAUUGAAUAAAGUUUUAGAUUUAGUCUAAGACCUAUUCUUAUUGGUCAUUUAGUCAUUAAUUUUGUACUAUAUUGACUUCAUAAUGAAUUUUAAAAUACUUCAUUGUAUUGAUACUGAUCAAAUUCAAUUC